rnacentral:rRNA from 1 species
GAACGAGCCCUUCGGGGUUAGUGGCGCACGGGUGCGUAACGCGUGGGAAUCUGCCCUUCGGUUCGGAAUAACUCAGGGAAACUUGAGCUAAUACCGGAUGAUGUCUUCGGACCAAAGAUUUAUCGCCGAGGGAUGAGCCCGCGUAGGAUUAGGUAGUUGGUGGGGUAAUGGCCUACCAAGCCGACGAUCCUUAGCUGGUCUGAGAGGAUGAUCAGCCACACUGGGACUGAGACACGGCCCAGACUCCUACGGGAGGCAGCAGUGGGGAGUAUUGGACAAUGGGCGCAAGCCUGAUCCAGCAAUGCCGCGUGAGUGAUGAAGGCCUUAGGGUUGUAAAGCUCUUUUACCCGGGAUGAUAAUGAC